GCCCUUGUAAGAAUUCGGAUGAGGUCUACCUGCAAUGGGAGCUCAGGGCUGAGGUCCGGCUCCCGUAGGAGCUCGGACGAAGUCUACCUGCAGUAGGAGUUCGGGGAAGAAGUCCAACUCCCGUAGGAGCCCGGAUGAAACCCAGAAGGCAGUCGACCGUCGUAAAAACUUGGAUGGAGUCCGUCCGUCGUGGAGAUCUGCUAUUGAAAAAGUUUGCCCACUG
rnacentral:lncRNA from 1 species